UACGGAGGAUCCAAGCGUUAUCCGGAAUCAUUGGGUUUAAAGGGUCUGUAGGCGGUCUUGUAAGUCAGUGGUGAAAUCCCUUCGCUCAACGGAGGAACUGCCAUUGAUACUGUGAGACUUGAAUCAUUUGGAAGUAGCUGGAAUAUGUAGUGUAGCGGUGAAAUGCUUAGAUAUUACAUGGAACACCAAUUGCGAAGGCAUGUUACUACGAAUGUAUUGACGCUGAGGGACGAAAGCGUGGGUAGCAAACAGG
rnacentral:rRNA from 1 species